AGCUAAAUAGUUUAAUAAAAACAUUAAUUUUGUAAAUUAAAGAUAAUAGAAAAUUUUUAGCUU
rnacentral:tRNA from 1 species